rnacentral:rRNA from 1 species
UACAGAGGAGCCAAGCGUUGUCCGGAUUGACUGGGCGUAAAGCGCACGCAGGCGGGUGCGCGCGUGGGGUGUGAAAUCUGGCCGCUUAACGGCCAGGCGCCAUCCCAUACGGCGCGCCUGGAGCCUUGCAGAGGGCAGCAGAAUUCCCGGUGUAGCGGUGAAAUGCGUAGAUAUCGGGAGGAAUACCGAUGGCGAAGGCAACUGCCUGGGCCUGAACUGACACUGUGACUCGAAAGCGUGGGUAGCAAACAGG